rnacentral:rRNA from 1 species
UACGUAGGGCGCAAGCGUUAUCCGGAAUUAUUGGGCGUAAAGAGCUCGUAGGCGGUUUGUCGCGUCUGCCGUGAAAGUCCGGGGCUCAACUCCGGAUCUGCGGUGGGUACGGGCAGACUAGAGUGAUGUAGGGGAGACUGGAAUUCCUGGUGUAGCGGUGAAAUGCGCAGAUAUCGGGAGGAACACCGGUGGCGAAGGCGGUUCUCUGGGCCUGACCUGACGCUCAUGCACGACAGCGUGGGGAUCAAACAGG